CAAUAAUAAUAAUAAUAAUAAUAAUAAUGAUAAUGAUAAUAAUAAAAAUAAUAAUAAUAAAAAGAAGUGAAUGGUGAAAUAUGAGUAGAGGUGAAGGAAUGAAGAAAAUAAGUUAAAUACAUCCCAAAGGCUCACCCAGACCUCUUGCAGGGCACAUACUUCCCUCUGAGUUAAAAUACAAAAACAACACAAAUCCAACAAACAAGAAGAAUGGUGUGACAUGAUUUUUCAGUGAAAGAAUAAACGUAGCUGAGAAAGUGUCAGUCAUUUCUCUCCCCCAUUGAAAUUUUCAUAGUCUGAAUUUCUUCACUAGAUUCUUGGCCAUUUGGAAUCUUUUCAAACCUUUUGGAGGUUUCUCUCCUCUAGUAUAAUCCUUUUCUCUAUCUUUAUGAAAACAUCUAGCAAGGUCUAGGAGGAAAAAGAGAAACUCAAGAGACUAGAAAUGAAUCAUAUUGGUUUUUCUCACGUUAGUUUUUUUUUUUUAAGGUAAACAUUUUAUUGAAAUCCUAAAUAAACACUGAAGAAUGCACAAGCCAUAAAUGUACAGCUUGAUUCAUUUUGAUGUUAGACAGGUAUUUUUUUUCACAUCCUUUUUUUUUCUCCAAACCAAGGGUCUCACUUCUUUUAACCGAGCUCAUUGUUCCCCAGAAGGCCUGCUGGUUUGCCAAGUCUUUAGCUGACUUGUGCAUCAACGGAUGACUCUGUCUUCUGGCUUCAUCCUGGCUCAGGAAGAUGCAAGUCAGAGUUGAGAGUAGCAGUCCUUGGUUCCGUGCCAGUGCCGCCUGUGGGCCAGCUUUGUGUGGUGAUUAAGCAACAGCCUUAGAUGUCAGACAUGACAUAGAUUAAAGGCUAGCCUGGGGAACAACGGAAAGAGGCAUUUUGCAUUCUCAUCAGACAACUUUGACACAAAUUUGGGGAACAGUCUGUUGGCAAAUGGAGAACAGGUGUGGGGUCCUGACUGAAUGUGCAAGAACGUGGACAAAAGAGAUAUCCCAGGCUGGAGUGAUCAGGGUGGACUUCCUGGAAGAAGUGAACAGUGUUAUGUGGAUUCACACUUUGGAGUUUCAGAUGGAGAGAGUAUUCCAAGCAGGAACAACAAAUAAUAGAGAGGCAAAAGAGAAAAAGUUUUGGAGGCGUUUCUUGGGAAGAACACAUCCCAGAAAGAAGUACCUGCUUUUGCCCUCUGGUAAGAUUUAUUUAGAAUUUUAAGAAGGAAUGAAUUUGCUUCUAGAAUUGUCUACGCUGGUGGCUACUGGGACGUCCAGGUGCUAGUUUUUUUUAACUGAAUAUGUGUAAACUACAAGUUUCUCUUGCACUCCUCCGAGAGCACACGUGGGUCCUUGGGCAGCUGUCCGGGUGGAGGUCCUCCCUCAGUGUCAGCCCCGCUCUUCCCCGGGGGUCGUGGCAUUUCCCAGGAUUCCCAUUAGCACAACCUGUUAACAGCCUCAAUUUUUGAGGUCCAAACCCCCUACUUUCUUAGUCAUGGUAAUCAAUUCUCUCUCUUUUCCCACUGUUUAAAUAAUUAACAAGGCAAAGAAAAGUAUGCAGAACAAUAUAAUAGAAAAUGUCAGGUAAGAAAAUCAUGGGUUCUCCUUACGGGUUGACAGAAUGCAGGGGUGGUGACAACUGCCGGGGUGUGUGGAGGUCUUGCUGCAGGAGUUCUGGUGUGUGACCAGCUUCUGUGCUGAGCGGACGUCCCACUGGAUCUAGGGGGAACAUGGCUGACAGAGGUGGCCAUGAUGGAUGAUCCCAAGUGGCAAAAGCAUCCGUUUAGGGUUUCAGCCUGAGUGAGUUUGCAGUUAAAACUCAUUUCAGAGCAAGAUGCCAAUUUCCCCUCAGAAGGUCAUUGGAAGGGUUCAGUCUGGAGAUCUCCAUCACGCUACUGCCGGGCUGGAACGCAGGAGACGCCAGUCUGUGAUUUCUGUGGCCGCCCGGGCUAGUCCUGGUGUCAUUCGGCCUUUGCGGCUCCGCACACCCCUUGUCAUUGAUCAACAUGGCUUAGAGGUUGCUCCAGAGCAUAACAUUUCCUGUCCUGUUCUCUGGCCCGUUUUUUAUUCUCUUCAUGGUAUCAUCUUCUGAACAGAAGCUCUUAAUUCCAAAACACUCCAGCUGAUCAUUGUUUCCCUUAUAGUUAGCACAUUUAGUGUCCUGUUUAAGAGUCUUUGACUACUCCAACAUCAUGAAGACGUUCUCUUAGGAUCUCUUUAAAAGCCUUAUUGCUUUCCUUUUCCUGUUUAGAUUUAUGAUCCAUCUGGAUUUGAAUUUUCUGUAGGUAGGAGAUAAAGGUUCAUUUUACUUUUAUAUGGCUAUCCAGUUGAUCUGUCAUUAUUUAUUAUAAAGACCAUCUUUUCUUCAUUUCACUACAGUGUCAUCUUUAUCCAGUAAUCAGGGAAUCUCAUGUUUGAGACUUUUUUUUAAAGUAAUGGACUUUAUUUAUUUAUUUAUUUAUUUUUGGUGAGAAAGAUUGUCGUUGAGCUGAGCUAAUAUCUCUGCCAAUCUUCCUCUUUUUGCUUGAGGAAGAUUGUCCCUGAGCUAACAUCUCUGCCAGUCCUCAUCUGUUUUGUAUAUGGGAUGCCUCCACAGCGUGGCGUGAUGAGCAGUGUGUAGGUCUGCACCUGGGAUCUGAACCCAUGAACCCUGGGCCACUGAAGUGGAGUGCAUGAACUUAACCACUACACCACCAGGCUGGACCCCUAGACUUAUUGUUUAGAAUAGUUUUAGGUUUACGGAAAAAUUGAGCAGGAAGUACAGAGUCUGUUUUAAGGGUAACUGGGGUUUGUUUUAAUCAAGUGUGGUAAGACACACAGACUUAGAACGACUGUCUUAAUGAAGAAGUUUAUACUCACAGAUCCCAAGAGGAGGGGCCCUCCACCCAGGACCACAUGGGAAAGCACCAAGUUGGUCGGGAGGCAGAGAGGGUAAGGGGGAAAUGUGGGCAGGAGGCUUUAUUAUGGUUUCUGUGGGAAGGAAAUGGUGAAGCAGGGCGAUCAGGCUUAGGAUGGGUUAGUUUGCACAAUUUCAGUGGGCUCUGGGAGGUUGGGGCCGUCUGUAGCUCUCUGGUACCUGGCCAUGGGUGAUUAGGGCAGGGGAAUAGUAUAAGGUCUCUUAAAGGAUGUGGUUGAGGUACGGCCUCUGGAUUGGUUGAUUUGCAUGUGAAAGGUGCCCUCACAGGCAAGCUGUUCUGUCAAAGGACUAGCCAGCCCUGGGCUAGGUGGGGGGGGUGGGGGGGGCGGGGGGGUGGGGGGAGGGGGCCUUGGGGGGGGCACUGAGCGGCGGGGGGGGGGGGGGGGAGGAGCAGUCUCUCCAGGAUCAGCAAGGCCUCAAGAUGUCAAAGCAUCAAAAGUACAAAAUAAAAGACAUGAUUGAUACA
rnacentral:lncRNA from 1 species